GACUUGGUCCUCAAAAAGAGGAUAAAACUGUUUUGGACACUGGACUGUCUUUAUGUGCCGAUCAGGUGUUUGACUUUGUACAAGAGAUGGGAGACUAAAUGCUGAGUCUUAAAGGGGUCAGUGUGUUUAGUCUUGAUCUGUGAUGCAAAGACUUGGUCCUACAAAAAAGGAAAAACUGUUUGGGAUAAUGAACUGUCUUUGUAUGCUAAACAGAAGUUUGACUUUGUACUGACUUUGACUUUGAAUUGUGAUGCAAAGACUAGGUCCCCAAUAAAGAAGAUAAACUGAUUCGGACACUGGACUGUCUUAAUACGCUUAUGAGGUGUCAAACUCUGUAGAGAUGGGAGACCAAAAGCUGACCCACUAGUGGGUCGAUGUCACCCAAACAAAAUCCUCCUUAGUCGUGACUAUUUAUGUAAAGACUUGCUCUCACGAAAAAAAGCAAGAGGAAAGACUCUUUCGGACACUGGACCGUCCUCAUAGAUUGAGCAGAUGUUUGACCUUCCAAAAGAGAUGGAAGACAAAAAGCUUAUCAGGGAAUCUGUUUUACCCAAAAACUCAAAACGUAUUAGAAGCAUAUUCAUUUUAAACAUUGCUUUAUCAUUUAACACUUAUAAACUCGGUUAGGAUUUUCCUGAAAAGAAAAAGAUUUUGGAUAAUUUUUGUUUCUUUCAAUCUUAACACAGGACAAAAAAAACGUGGAAUAUCGUCGUGGAUCAGUGGGCCCUGAUCGACUUCCUUUGGUGCCAGUAGUAAAUAUGUCACCUAGUCUGAGAGUUGGUCAGAAAGAGUACUAGUGCCGACAUGGAAGUUACAAUGAUAUUUCCUUUCAACAUCCGCAAUAAAUUCGGUGACAUGAAGAUUACAAGAUUACUAUGGAUUUCGUGGGAGAUGAGUGAUUUCGUGAAAGAUGACCACCUCAAGAAACCAUCUUGGAUAGAAAGCAAAAAUUAGAGAUUGUUGGUCAAUGGCAGUUUUUAAGUAUUUGUAAACUGUCUACCUUGUGGUAACAACAUCUUGCAAUACGCAUGUGUCUUGAGACAGAUGUUUGGUUACAAAAGAUGCAUGCGUUUGAAAUAAACGUCACUACCACAAGGUAGACAAGUUGUUGAACGAUUUAAAAAAGUGGACCCCAGAGGCGGGUGUGGUGGGGGAGGUCGGAUGGAGAAAAAAAAACUGUAUCAGAUGAGUGUAAUAUUACUGUAUUAUAAUGUAAGAAAGAGAUUGUAAUAUUACCAUUGU